rnacentral:rRNA from 1 species
UACGGAGGGUGCGAGCGUUGUCCGGAAUCAUUGGGCGUAAAGGGCGCGUAGGUGGCCUGCUAAGCGUGCGGUGAAAGUCGGGGGCUCAACCCCCGAUCGGCCGUGCGAACUGGGAGGCUUGAGCACUGUAGAGGCAGGCGGAAUUCCGGGUGGAGCGGUGAAAUGCGUAGAGAUCCGGAGGAACACCGACGGCGCAGGCAGCGUCCUGGCCGCUUGCUGACACUGAGGCACGAAAGCUGGGGGAGCAAACAGG